GAUGAACGCUGGCGGCGUGCCUAAUACAUGCAAGUCGAGCGAACAGAUAAGGAGCUUGCUCCUUUGACGUUAGCGGCGGACGGGUGAGUAACACGUGUGUAACCUACCUAUAAGACUGGAAUAACUCCGGGAAACCGGGUCUAAUGCCGGAUAACAUUUAGAACCGCAUGGUUCUAAAGUGAAAUAUGGUUUUGCUGUCACUUAUAGAUGGACCCGCGCCGUAUUAGCUAGUUGGUAAGGUAACGGCUUACCAAGGCAACCAUACGUAGCCGACCUGAGAGGGUGAUCGGCCACACGGGAACUGAGACACGGACCAGACUCCUACGGGAGGCAGCAGUAGGGAAUCUUCCGCAAUGGGCGAAAGUCUGACGGAGCAACGCCGCGUGAGUGAUGAAGGUCUUCGGAUCGUAAAACUCUGUUAUGAGGGAAGAACAAAUGUGUAAGUAACUGUGCACGUCUUGACGGUACCUAAUCAGAAAGCCACGGCUAACUACGUG
rnacentral:rRNA from 1 species